CCCAGACAACCACCCUUGUGCUGCAGGUGGUCGUGAGGAUGUUCCCGCCCAAGAGUCCUACCCCAGGAAGCCAGGCCUGGGUCCUGACUGUGAUGUCAACCAGACAAGCCAGUUAGGUCUACUCAACCCCAGCAGAAUGAAAACUGGGAAAACAGGUGUCCCAGCAAUCUCUGAGAGAGCCCGCUGGUCUCUUUCGCCCACUGCAUCUUCAACCUUCACCACUCUGAAAGUCCAGUCGGGCACAACCAACGCCACCAUCUUGGCUGAAACAUUGAACUCCAGUCCAGAAGCAACAACCAGGUCAUCUGUGUCCAUUCCAGAUUCAGAGACCUGGAUAGCAACUGCUACUGACCUAGUGACGGGGGUCACCUACGAGACCACUAUGUCCACUCUGACCUCGUGGAGAAAUGUCACCCUUUCGGGGGCAGAGACGACCCAAACUGAGCCCCAUGCUGAAGAUGAAACUUCACCACCAACUUCUGCCAUUACCGAGAAAGCUACCCCAAGUCGGCUGUCAACUAAAACCACUAGCCCCACAGAAAAAGAAACAUAUCCACCAUUUCCUGGUUCCUUAAUUACAGUCAGCAAGUCCAAGGAGCCAAAGACGAUGGCUCUCCUCACUGAGACCUCAACUUCGGGUGACUCCGGGAAAGGUAUGGACCUGACUGUGCCCCGGGUGGAGAUUUCAACUACGGCUAACAGGAUGGCGGUAACGGCGAUGACAACCACCAAGACCACUCCCCGCGCCGGGACGUCAAUCGCAGGCAGCCCCUCCGCAGAACCGGGGACCACAGGAGUCGGCUCCAAAACCUCAAAUUUAGAUGACUCCAGUGAAGAGAUCUCAACUGGGUCCCUAGCCGAGACCUCAACUGCCCAAACCUCCACCAUAACCAAAAGGGCCGCCGAUUCGGAGAAGGCGACGGUCACGACCACUUCACUCGCCAAGACUUCGAUUGUAGUCAGUAGCUCCGCGGAACCUGGGAGCGCACAGGUCUCCGGUGAAGGAAUUAACACGACGGGGUCCCUUGCGAGGACUUCAACCGCAGCCAGUAGCGUGACGGUAAUGCGGAAGACGACCACCAAGACCGCUUCCCAAGCCACGACUUCAGUGACGGACAGCUCCUCCACAGCAUUGCGGACCAUGGACGUACCCUCUGGAAUCUCGACUUCGGGUGACUCCAGCGAAGGAACGAUCAUAACAGCAUCCCCGACCACGACCUCAACCUUAGAUGAUGCAUCGUUGUUGGGCACAUCUCUGGCAAGUCAGAGACCCUUCUCGACUCUCCUGCCAAAGAUCUCUAGCAGCCCCACAAGACAACAGACCCCAACUAAUGAGGCCACCUCAACGGCGGGUGCUAAACUGAACACCACCGGCACCAGGCCAGGAUCCCAGACCCCUGCCGAUCUCGACAGAUGCCUUCCAGGUAGGUCGAACCACUAGCCAGCGGCCGCUUCCUCUGAUUCUUUCAGUCAAUUAAUCAAUCCACCAAUGGAAGUUAUUGAGUGCUUACUGUGUGCAGAACACUAUAGUAAGCAUUUGGGAGAGUUCAAUACAACGGAGAUGUGGACAUCUUCCCUGCUUGUACUAAUAAUAAUAAUAAUUAUGGUAUUUGUUAAGCGCUUCCCAUGUUCCAAACACUGCUCUAAGCACUGGAGUAGAUACAAGAUUAUCAGGUUGUCCUAUGUGGGGCUCACAGUCUUAAUCCCCAUUUUAUAGGUAAGGUAACUGAGGCACAGAGAAGUUAAGUGACUCGACCAAAGUCACACAGCUGACAAGUAGCUGAGGCGGAAUUAGAACCCACGUCCUCUGACUCCCAAACCCGGGCUCUUUCCACUAAGCCACUCUGCCGUGAGGAAGGGCCAUUAUCCAUUCCUUUCCUGGAAGGGGUCCCUCAGAGGUCAUUUAACUCCAUUCCUCUGGUUAAACUCAACCCAAACAGGUUCACGAGCCGGGUGGAGCUCCGACCUGCUCUUAAAAUUUUCCACUCGUACAUUCCUCAGCUUGAUGACUUUUGCAGAUAGCUUUGGAAAUAGUUCGGAGAAGUGACCUGCCCACAGAAAUGUUAAUUAGUCCUUGGCUCUCACCAGCCUCCCUCCUUCCCUCUCCCUGCCCAGCUAGAGCCGGGUCUGUCCUUGCAGUUUAUAUGUAUAUUUCAAGCACUGGGCUUUGUCGUUGAAGAAGACACCACCACUGAAGGUGAAGUUCCCCUGCGUGUGCAUAUAUGGCCGAAAAACCCAAUGAGGGACCCACAGUCCUGGACACAGUGGGUACACAAGAAGGCUGCCCCUGGGUUUUUAUUUUUUCAAAAAAAAUGUUCUUUGUCAAGCCCUUACUAUGUGUCGAACGCUGUUCUAAGUUUUGGGGUCGAUACAACAGUGGCUACACAAAAAGGCUGCCCCUGGGUUUUUAUUUAUUAUUUUUAAAUGGUAUCUGUCGAGCCUUCACUAUGUGUCGAACACUGUUCCAAGCGCUGGGGUUGAUACAAAUUAAUUAAGUUGGACAUAGUCCCUAUCCCACAGGGGUUCACAGUGUGUUGUGAUAUUUAGAAAAGCAACACGGCCUAGUAGAUAGAGCACAGGCCUGAGAGUCGGAAGGACCUUGGUUCUAGUUCCAGAUCCUCCACUUGUUUGCUGUGUGACAUUGGACAAGUCACAUCACUUCCCUGUGCCUCACUUCCCUCAUCUGUAAAAUGGGGAUUAAGAUUGUGAGCCCUAUGUGGGAUGUGGACUGUGUACAAUCUGAUUUCCUCAUAACUAUCCCAGUGCUUAGAAACAGUGUCUGGCACAUAGUAAGCACUUAACAUCUAUCACUUGGAAGAAAUAUGGUGCUCUUUCAUAUAAAUAUCAGCAAAUAUGCUAACAGCCCCCGCCCCCCAAUAUAUUACUCUUAGGCGAAGAGGACAUAAUAUUCCACCUAAAAAUAAUGAUGUAUUUGGUUAAACAUUUACUAUGUGUCCAUCACUGUUCUAAGCGCUGGGAUAGAUACAAGUUAAUCAGCUCAGACACAGUCUCUGUCCCACGUGGGGCUCACAAUUUAAGUAGGAGGGAAAACAGGCAUUUUACAGUAGAGGAAACUGAGAUAGUUUCCAAGGUCAUCCAGCAGACAAGGGGCAGAUCCAGGAUUAGAACCCAGGUCCACUGACUCCCAGGCCCAUGUUCUUCCCACUGGAGCACCUUGCUUCCCAUCCGUGUAAGAACCUUCCUUAGAAAAAAAGACCCCUUAGAAAACUACAUUCUCUGAAAACCUCGGAAGCAGAGCCCCAUCUGGCUAGCAACACCACCCAAAUUGCUGCUUAUUAGCCAUUACACACCUCUUCCCACAAAAAGUAGAGGGAAAAUGUGUGUGUGUGUGCAUUUAUGUGAUAUAUAUAUAUGUAUAUAUAUAUAUGGGUCACCCCUCCAUCAGAAAGAGCUGGCAGUAGAUACAGAAUAAUUAGGGAAGCAGCAUAGCUUAGUGGAUACAGCCUGGGCCUAGGAGUCAGAAAGAUCUGGGCUCUAAUUCCGGCUCCACUCCAUGUCUGCUGUGUGACCUUGGGCAAAUCACUUCACUUCUCUGGGCCUCAGUUCCCUUAUCCGUAAAAUGGGGAUUAAGAGUGUGAUUAAGUGAUUAAGAGUGUCCCCAUGUGGGACAGGGACUGUGUCCAACCGGAUUAACUUGCAUCUAUCCCAGCAGUUAGAACAGUAACAAGUACUGUAAUAAUUAUUAUUAUCAGCAAUUACAAUAUUCUAAUAAUAAUGCUCCUUUUUUAAUGACUCUAGUGGAACCGUAUUAGAACAGUAACAAGUACCAUAAUCUUUAUUAUUAUUAUCAGC
rnacentral:lncRNA from 1 species